CAACAUGGCCCAAUGUAUCAGAGAAUUUUUUGGUCAUCAUGAGUUACAAUGCUACUGAUAAUAGUUCCAGAUGAAUUAAUUUGGUCAUAUUUAGCUAAGCCAUUCAGCCAAAUUUCAAUAUGUUGUUGUCAGGGAUAAAAUGUAAUUUCUCCUUAGGGUUUGUUUUUUUUUUUUUUUUUUUUUUUUUAGAACUUGUUAUAUUUGAUUGUACGAAGGUGUUUGCUCAGUUUGUUCUACUUCAUUGUGGGGAGGUAAGUGUACAGAGGACAGAGGGCAGAGGACAAGCUUUAGGAGUUUCUCCUUCUACCACGUGGAUUCUAGGACUUGAACUCAGGUCGUCAGGCUUGCCAGCAAGAGCCUUUAUCCACUGAAACAUUUCAUCAGGCUUUUUCUUAGGUUUUAAAAUUCAAUUUGUUUGCUAAGAAAGUAGGUCAUAUUGAAGGACUCAUUGGGAUAAUAUAUGUGAGAACAUUACACCAUUAAGGCAGAUUAGGUUACUAGUUUAAACUGUAUUUUUCUUUGAUUUAAUGUUUAAUACGGAAACUGUUUCAUUUGGAUUUUUUUUUUUUUUGCUAGCCUUACACAAAAUGGGAUAACAACCCUGAUCAGUGCAGAGUCUCAUUCUCCACAUGAGGGAACAAUAUGUGUUUUAUACCAAAACAGUAUGAGAAGGCCAACUUAAAGAAGCCAUAUGCCACCAUUCCAGGCCCAUGUUGCUCAGAGGUAGAACACUAACCUAGAAUAUGGGAUGGCAUGGAUUUCAUCCAAAGCCUGACCAAAUAAAUAAAUAAAUAAAUAAAUAAAUAAAUAAAUAAAUAAAGUCCCAACUGGCCAUGCUAGUUAUCUUUAAUAUGCAAGCUCCUGCAAUGAAAUUGAAAUUCACUUCUGCCUCACAUGGAAGUUUCUCUCUUCUCAGUACUUUUUACAUUUUAAAUGUGUAUCACAUAUAAACUACUUAAAAGAAGGCCUACAUUAAAAAGGAAGCAUUUUGUUUAUGCUUUCUUUCUGUGUAGAUUGACUAACUAGCUCCUACAUUCUUUGUCUCGAUACUGUUACACUUGCUACCUUUUGGGUUCUUUUUGCCUUUUGCCUUUCAAAAGAGUGGUAGAGAGAGUGGCAGGGAGAAAAGAAUAAAACUAAGAAUAAGUGUCUAAAACAUGGCUGCAGACGAAGGCAACAAGGGGAGAAAGGAGAAUAACAUCACGAGAUAAUAAUUCAGCUUUCAUUUUAAACAUGGAAAAGCACAUGAAUCAAACGGAAAGUACCUAAACAUUGGAAGGAAAUACAUGUACAUAGUGUAGAGAUUAGCUUUUGUUCCCUGCUAAGUAUUCCCCAUAUAGAUGAUUUCAUCCUUUGAAAAAUAUUUAUUGAGUGCCUACUAUAUUCAUAGCAUCAGGCUAAGAUGCUCCCCUAAGACAUUACUCUUUCCCAUUUGUAAACAGGCAGCCCUUUCUCUGCCUUUGCUCUGGACAGAUAUGCAGAGUUUUCAAAGGGAAAAACCGUGUGGAGGCCCACAAGGAGUGAGUGCACUGGCCUGGAUUGGAAUGCUGGGUUUCUGAGCCCACUAUGAAGAAAGUGAGGAGACCACCUACAUAACAGGAAGAAAACUUUUCAAAUCAUAUAUGUGGGAUGUCUCAGUUUUUUACCAAAAAGGCCACGGGAAGGAGAGGUGACAGGUUUCUAGCUGGUCCUAACUGCCAGCUCACAUUUCCCUACCAGAAUUCCACACAGACAAAGCCUCAGCUUCAAGGCUGGAGGCAGAGGCUUCUGAGACAAGGUCACAUGGUGUCUUUGGAGCAGCUGCCGUGGCUGUACUAAAGCCAGUCAGUACUCAGUACUCUUGCUCAGUUAUAGGUUGGUGCUACUUGCCAGACCAGCUACUUAACUAAAUCCCUAUACUCCCAACAAUACAGCCUUCCUAAAUGAAAACCUCAAGGGGAAAAGUCAUGAUUGUGAGGAAGGGAAGAAACUCAUUCAUAAGUUCUUCACUUGGGACAAACAAACAAACGAUUCAUGUUAUAGCAGCAAACAGCCAAGGGGCUAGUUGCUGGUUGUGCUGAAGUAGCUGCUGUAGAGUGCUCUGUAACAAGCAACUGCCGGGAAUGAGGAUGGAGGCCAGACUUGAGACUUCAGAGACUGAAGCUGGUGUGCUGUUCCUCAUUAGUAGAUGUAGAACUGCUCUGCUUUGUCUCCCCAUCCUCCCACCCCGUGCCCUGGAGUCUUAUCAUUUUGGAGGCUCCUUCAGCUAUACUCUGGUUUUCCGAGGGCCACAGUGAGAGCCACAGUCUUUGUGUAAGCCUUGAAAGGGUCUCACCAUGUCUGUCUGUUUAAGUUGAAACCACCUUUUUGGGGAAUCCUCUCUGUGCUGACCACGGAAAAGGUGUGUGAGUGAGUCUCUGUGGGGCAACUUUUUUUUUUUUAAGAGAGAAAGAAAAAAUAAGAGUAAGGGAAGGGAGAGAUGAAGGAAGGGGGAUGGUGGGAACGAAAAGGUCAGUACAUUUUUGUGACUAGAGUGAGAAAGAAAAUUAUCCAUCCUUCUGUGGCCACUUUUUUUUUUCCAGCUAAAAAUUUUGUCGUAUAGUUGGGUAGGGUAGCUCACCUCUAUAUUCCUAGCACUCAGGAGGCUGAGGAAGGAGAAGUGUCAUGAGUUUGAGGGCAGCCUGGGCUACAGGGUGAGUUCCAGGCUAGCUGGGCUACAGAGUGAGACACUAGUUGAACACCAAAGGGGGCCAGUGAGAUAGCUUAGUACAUGAAAGCAUUUGCCAGCAAGCCUGAUGACCUAAAUUUGAUCUCUGGGAUCCACGAGGUAGAAAGAAGGAACCAACCCUUACACAUUAUGCUCUGACCACCAUAGUGUGUGCCAUGGCACACACCCAAGUACUACCCUCACCCAAUAAAUAGAAUCCAAACAAGCAACCAAACAACAAACAGAGCACAAUAAGGUUCACUACCUUCAUGUGAAGCAUCAUUGUAGGUCCCCAAAUUAAACAUUGCAAAGGGAGUUUAGUGGACCAACUGAUCCCAAACAAGAGUGGCAUAGAAUGCAGAGCCCACCCUGGCUUCUAAAUUCUCUCCUCUAAGGUAGCCUUCCUAGCAGAGGAAAGACAUUCACUGAUAGUGUCAAAUUAUUAGUCAGAUUUUGGAUGGUAGAGCUUGACACUAUUUAUCCAAUUAAAUUUGCAUACACUACCUUUUGCUAUGCAUGUGUGGAGGGAAGAAUAUCUUAAUUCCACAAUGAGAACCCAGAGAGAAUCAAUCAAACAGACUUGGGUCCUGUGAACCAGUCACCCAAUGUUCUUCAUUUGUCUCUAUUUCCCUAUUAAUGAGGAGAAAAUGUCACUAUAAUCCAAUGCAGGGUCUGGGAACAUUGUCCAUACAAUCUCUAACUCUCCUAGAGAUGAAAGGAAAAUGAUGAAUAGGUGACUUCUAUCCUUUACUUUUAUGGAGCUACACAUCUGUUGGGUAUGAUUUCAACUCCUCGUGGAAUGAAACACAAGACAUUUUUGCCUUAGACAUCAAAAUCUUGGUCCAAUAUCUGACUUGAGAGCCACUUACAAUAUAGACCUUUUGUGACGUUUCACAAAUUUAAUGGCCAUGGGAAGACCCUAAAGUAACCCAAAGGGACAAUAUUCCCCCAGUGAUUCUAUCUUUGGGAUAAAAUGUAUAAAAUAUUCUAAAUAUUCAAAAAUCUAUUUCUUAGCCUCAGGCUUCAGAGCCUCUUGGGAAAUUUGAAACAGACCUAAGGGGCUACUAUUUAUCUUUGCCAAGCCUAGUAAACAUAAUCCAUAAUGUUAUUCAAGAAUGCAAUGGAAUAAUAUACAUACAGGUAACAUUACACAAAUUGAACAGAUUGUAUGUAUACACAUACAAUAUAUACAUGUAUAUAUGCAUAUAAACAUAACACAAAGAAAAAAGGUCAUGAAUCCGAGAGAGAGAGAGAGAGUGAGAGAGGGUAGAGGAUACAUUGGAGGAAUUUGAGAGCAGAAGAGAAGGGAAAUGAUCUAAUUAUAAUUUUCAAAAAUUUGUAUUAAAAACGAAUGCCAUGGAAGGUUGGAAAGUGAGUGAUGGUAGUGUGUGUCUCUCACAAACCCCAACAAGAAAACCACACAGGCAAAAAGGAAGGCCAAAGUGAGAAGGACCUCAAGACAAACCAGACUUGCUUCUUCCAGCACUCAUCCCAUAACCUCAAUUGCAUCCGCCGCGACCCACAAGCUUGUGUGGCCCACAGAAAUGGGUAAUUCAGAGCUACAAAAAAACAUAAAAGUGGCCGCCUCUCAGCCAGCGACUGACUGGGUUCAACCCUUGCCUACUGCUUCUAUUGGUUUUGCCUAGAUGUGCCUAGGACAGACCCCACUGAAUGCUUUGGUUAUAGAAGGAACUAUUUGGUUGCAUUGGAGAAAAAACAGAUGAUGACUUCCUGCAUUGGCUUCUCAUACUCUUCUCUUUCUGUUUUUACUGCUAGAAACAUGAACACGACAGAAUUUCCAGCAUAAUAGAAAAAAAAAAGAUCUGGGCAAAAACUCUGCUCCCAAGACCCACUGGACAGGGUUUUGUGUAUAUUUGAGGGGGAUGCAGGGAUCAGGUAAAGAAUGUUUGUUGUCCUCGUUUUUUUAGCCCAGGAACUUCAGACAAACCCUAAUAAUGUCUUAGGCCUCCAUCAUCAACAACCUAGAAUGUGGAGAACUGUAGUGGGGAUGUGUCUGAGGCAGGGGUCCUCAGACCUCACCGAGGAACACAACAAUCCAUCCCUGAGAACCAGGAUCAGCAGGCUUUGUCCUGAGCCCAUGGGUAGCCCUAUUGUUUCUGUUCACAGCUGAGCUGGCUCUGAUUCAAGAAGGAGAAGGUAAGGAAAUCCCAUCUGCGCUGCCGCCUGGCCCCUUCCGCCUUUCCUGUGCUGGAAUUCUAGACAAAGCAAGUCCAAGACAGAAGCUGGUGAAGUUCACUCGUCUCCCAAUGGGGCCUCCUGAAACAUCUUGUUUCUCUCUGACCAGGAUACAAAUAAAAGUGGCCUUUUCCGUCCUGCCCGUCUGUAUCCUCAAAAGAGGGAAGUGCAGUAGGCAACUGAUACAGAAGCUCUGAGUUUAUGAGAUUCCUUCUGGGGCUGGAGGAAGAGUGUAAAUUCCCAGGUUGACAAGAUCACCACAUGGUGCUCGAGUGUGACGCUAGUCUGGCCUCCUCGCCAUGCUUCAGCCAAAGGUACAACACAGACUAGGUUAACUCGGGAACAAAAGAGGCUUUCUUUGGCAGAGUGACCUUCCAUAAGUCACUUAACCCUUCCCUGCUUCUUGCUGCCGUGUGACUGAAGCCAUAAAUUAUUACUUGCGCACGUUCGGCUGCUCAAUGGAAAGUAAAGAAAAAGGGGUGAAUUUGUACCGUCACUCUACUGAGGAAACUUUGUCCAUUCAAAGCCAGGUUACAGAGUGGCCUUUAUUUUAAUUAAAAAGCAUCUGGAAAUGGAAAAGCCUGUUUGGCUCAGGGCCUCCUCCUUGGAGAAGAACGGAGGCAUGUCAUCUGGCUGGGCCUUCUCCUGGCUGUCUCAGUGGGAGCUGGAGAGGGAGCUGCUGAGGCUUUAGCACAUUUUUUGUGACAGGAACAGAUAAGCCUCACCGAAUGUCCUGCUCCCUUGGCUGCUGUUAGGAGCCUUCUCUAACACACCAUCCUCAGCUAAACCCUGCAACAGCAGGCAUCCUCCACAGUGGAUCUGCUACCCUGGCUCUGAGGGAAGUGGGGGAGGCUAGCUUGAAGCUUAUAUCCUCCAAGAUAUGGUCGAGCAACCCAGUGCUGGGGUAUGUUUCUGCAUCCUCCUUUACCCAGUGCUGACAGCAAAAGUAUUUCUAGAUAGCCUCCUGUGCCUGGGUUUUUGUGUAGGCAGUAGGCUCCAAGCCCUGCUUUUCACAGAGCCCGGGAUGACUGGCCAGAAUGGAAUGUUCCUCAGAUGGGGAGACACAAAACCUGUCUCAACCCUGAUUAUGCCUUCAAAGAGGUCCUUUGUCUUGUCUGGGCUUUGGUGUCUAUAUUGGGAAAAAUAUAGCUGUGGGUCCUAAACAGAGCUGAUAACAGAAUCUACUGCACAGAAAAGUGGGUAAGAGGAUGGAUAGCCUAGGUAUAAAUUCUACACUCCACUACUUUCUAUGUGGGUAACCUUAGGCCAAAUGACUAAACCUCCGUGUCUGUUUCCUCACCAGUAAAUCAUGUUUAUAACAUU